rnacentral:rRNA from 1 species
UGGGGAAUAUUGGACAAUGGGCGCAAGCCUGAUCCAGCCAUGCCGCGUGAGUGAUGAAGGCCCUAGGGUUGUAAAGCUCUUUCACCGUGAAGAUAAUGACGGUAACCGGAGAAGAAGCCCCGGCUAACUUCGUGCCAGCAGCCGCGGUAAUACGAAGGGGCGUAGCGUUGUUCUGGAUUUUACUGGGCGUAAAGCGCACGUAGGCGGACUUUUAAGUCAGGGGUGAAAUCCCGGGGCUCAACCCCGGAACUGCCUUUGAUACUGGAAGUCUUGAGUAUGGUAGAGGUGAGUGGAAUUCCGAGUGUAGAGGUGAAAUUCGUAGAUAUUCGGAGGAACACCAGUGGCGAAGGCGGCUCACUGGACCAUUACUGACGCUGAGGUGCGAAAGCGUGGGGAGCAAAACAGGAUUAGAUACCCUGGUAGUCCACGCCGUAAACGAUGAAUGUUAGCCGUUGGGAGUUUACUCUUCGGUGGCGCAGCUAACGCAUUAAACAUUCCGCCUGGGGAGUACGGUC